GUUUGUCAUUGGCAGCACAUAAACUAAAACUGGAGUGAUACAGAGAGAUUUUCAUAGUCCCUGCACAAAGAUGACAAGGACAGUUGUGAAACAUUCUAUAUUUAU